rnacentral:rRNA from 1 species
GACGAACGCUGGCGGCGUGCUUAACACAUGCAAGCCGAACGGAAAGGCCCUGCUUUUGUGGGGUGCUCGAGUGGCGAACGGGUGAGUAACACGUGAGUAACCUGCCCUUGACUUUGGGAUAACUUCAGGAAACUGGGGCUAAUACCGGAUAGGAGCUCCUGCUGCAUGGUGGGGGUUGGAAAGUUUCGGCGGUUGGGGAUGGACUCGCGGCUUAUCAGCUUGUUGGUGGGGUAGUGGCUUACCAAGGCUUUGACGGGUAGCCGGCCUGAGAGGGUGACCGGCCACAUUGGGACUGAGAUACGGCCCAGACUCCUACGGGAGGCAGCAGUGGGACUAUUGCACAAUGGGCGGAAGCCUGAUGCAGCAACGCCGCGUGCGGGAUGACGGCCUUCGGGUUGUAAACCGCUUUCGCCUGUGACGAAGCGUGAGUGACGGUAAUGGGUAAAGAAGCACCGGCUAACUACGUG